AUACUUACCUCAACGGGGUCAAUCGGUGAUCAAGAAGGCUGAUGGCCUAGGGUGGCUACCUUCAUUGCAUUUGAGGGUGGAUCAUCUUGGUAUCUCUUCAAGUAGGAGAGUACACAUCAUGAUUUGAGUUUGAGUUGAAUCUGUAUGGAUUUUUAUCAUUC
rnacentral:snRNA from 1 species